GCCAGGUGUGGUGGUGCACACCUGUAGUCCCAGCUUCUUGGGAGGCUGAGGCAGGAGAAUUGCUUGAACCCAGGAGGUGGAGGUUGCAGUGAGCCGAGAUAGCGCCACUGCAUUCCAGCCUGGGUGAUAGAGCAAGACUCUUUCUCAA
rnacentral:SRP_RNA from 1 species